AUUGAACGCUGGCGGCAGGCCUAACACAUGCAAGUCGAACGGUAACAGAAAGCAGCUUGCUGCUUUGCUGACGAGUGGCGGACGGGUGAGUAAUGUCUGGGAAGCUGCCUGAUGGAGGGGGAUAACUACUGGAAACGGUAGCUAAUACCGCAUAACGUCGCAAGACCAAAGAGGGGGACCUUCGGGCUUCUUGCCAUCGGAUGUGCCCAGAUGGGAUUAGCUAGUAGGUGGGGUAACGGCUAACCUAGGCGACGAUCCCUAGCUGGUCUGAGAGGAUGACCAGCCACACUGGAACGGAGACACGGUCCAGACUCCUACGGGAGGCAGCAGUGGGGAAUAUUGCACAAUGGGCGCAAGCCUGAUGCAGCCAUGCCGCGUGUAUGAAGAAGGCCUUCGGGUUGUAAAGUACUUUCAGCGAGGAGGAAGGUGUUGAGGUUAAUAACCGCAGCAAUUGACGUUACUCGCAGAAGAAGCACCGGCUAACUCCGUGCCAGCAGCCGCCGUAA
rnacentral:rRNA from 1 species